CCAGACUCCUACGGGAGGCAGCAGUGAGGAAUAUUGGUCAAUGGACGUAAGUCUGAACCAGCCAAGUAGCGUGCAGGAUUGACGGCCCUAUGGGUUGUAAACUGCUUUUGUUGGGGAGUAAAGUGGGGCACGCGUGCCUUUUUGCAUUUACCCUUCGAAUAAGGACCGGCUAAUUCCGUGCCAGCAGCCGCGGUAAUACGGAAGGUCCAGGCGUUAUCCGGAUUUAUUGGGUUUAAAGGGAGUGUAGGCGGUCUGUUAAGCGUGUUGUGAAAUUUAGGUGCUCAACAUUUAACUUGCAGCGCGAACUGGCGGACUUGAGUGCACGCAACGUAUGCGGAAUUCAUGGUGUAGCGGUGAAAUGCUUAGAUAUCAUGACGAACUCCGAUUGCGAAGGCAGCGUACGGGAGUGUUACUGACGCUUAAGCUCGAAGGUGCGGGUAUCGAACAGGAUUAGAUACCCUGGUAGUCCGCACGGUAAACGAUGGAUGCCCGCUGUUAGCGCCUGGCGUUAGCGGCUAAGCGAAAGCAUUAAGCAUCCCACCUGGGGAGUACGCCGGCAACGGUGAAACUCAAAGGAAUUGACGGGGGCCCGCACAAG
rnacentral:rRNA from 1 species